rnacentral:lncRNA from 1 species
GCAAGGAGAGGGUACAUCUCACACAUUUCCUCAAAGCUCUUGUCCCCAGUCUUGCUGCCAUUGCUAUCCUUUCGAGAAUUUCUGCGCAAUGCUUUCUUGGAGAGAUUUCUGCCACUGCUAUCCUUAGCCCCAACUUGGGAAGGUUUGCCCCAGGCUUGCUCAGAGAGAUUGUCAAGGCGUUUACCAUGCUCAGUAGUAGAUUUGUGCUUCUUCUCGAAGUAGCGGCGCCUUAGACUGGACAUUUUAUCCUUGACAGUACGGAGUUCUAAGCUCUGGUCCUCAAGCUGCUUGAGGACAUAUUGAAAGAAGCCGCUGUCCUCGACUUCUGGGGGAUACCCAUGGGUGUCGCGGUAAUGGACGACCUGCUCGAGGAUCAGAAUCUCAUCAUUGGGAGCCCAUUCGCGCCUGAUCCUCUUUACCUUGGAAGUGCCCGGCUCACCUUUUUGAAGUAAAAAGUAGGUAAUUAACAUCCUAGUGCGAUUAAAUACAGAGAAAAGAGAGGAAGCAAAGAAAACAAAAACAGGGUACUCCGGCUCGCUCACCUUGUUGCUGUGCUGGCUUGAUCCUCUCCAAUUUGCGCUUCUUCGACUUGAUAACCUCUGCCCCUUGUUCCUCUGGUUCGUGCUCUUCCGGUGCAGGCUUGCGCAUCUUCUUGUUCUUACCCUUGAUGAUCCCUGCACCUUCAUCCUCUGGUCCAUGUUCUUGAUGAUCCUCUGGACUAUUUACCCUUGAUGAUCCUCUGGUCCUCCCCUUGCUUAGUAACUGCAGAGCAGACGCAAGCUCGUCCGCCGCUUCCUCUUCCAUGGAUUCACCCCCCUCCUCCUCAUCCUCAGACUGGGAGCCCUCCUUGCUUGACGAAUGCAGAUCGGAUUGCUCCUCCUCCCUUUCCGCUUCCUCGGACUGCUGGGAACCCUCGCCCUCCUCCGCCUCUCCGCCUUCAACCUCCGCGGCCGGUUCCGGCGGUGGUUUCUCCGUGGCUUGGGGCUCCACCGGGACGCCGUUGAGGCCCAACUCUACCGAGCCCUCGGAUCCAGCCGGGAUUCCGGUUUUGCGGCCGCGCUUGGCGGCACGCUUGCCAGCCAUGGCAAUCUUCUCCUGUUCCGGCGGUGGGUUAUCUGUGACUUGGUGCUCCGGCGGUGGGUUCUCGGUGACCUGGGGCUCCAUGGGGACGCCAUUGAGCCCCAGCUCUACCGAGCAGUCAGAUCCAGCCGGGAUUCCUGUUUUGCGGCCGCGCUUGGCGGCGCGCUUGCCGGCCAUGGCAACGACAAUGGGGAAGACGGUGGUUAGGUUUGGGUGGGGGGAGAGAGACAGGGGAGGGGCGGCGGCGGCAGGGGAGCCCAACCCUAGGGUUGGGGCGGCGGCGGCAGGGGAAGAGGACGGGCGCUCGGGGUCUGGGGUUUUUUUUUAUCGGAGGAGUCGCGCGGUGGCAUUUUCGGGGUAAUAACGGUUUGCCAGGUAAUUUUGUAUUGAGCGUCCGGAGAAGUUCGGGAAACUGUUUCUUCCCACAGGGCAAUUUACACUAGGUUCUGGAGAGGGCUGUAAGAAGAGCCGGAUAAAAGUUUUUGCCUUAUUUUAGUCUUAGCUGCCUGGGACGUUGGGAUAGAAGCCCAAAAAAAGAGGGCCAUAGACCGGGAAAGUUUGGGCUGGAUGGCGUGAGCUAUUCAAGAGAAGGGAGAGGGAAGGGGGGAGGGGGUGUUGCUUUGCCUGGCCAUCGGGCCAGGCUUUUAAGAAAGCCCGUAAGCCCGACGGGCCUGGCCCGGUUGUGCCUUGCUAGGCACGAAGUUAAACAGGCCGGGCUGGCCCGAAGCAAGGCAUGUGUAGCGCCGAACUUCAAAUUGAGGCCCGACAGGCUAGCCCGGCACGGCCUGAUAACAGGCAGCCUGAUGAAGCUUGGCACGGCACGCAAGGCCCGGCAGCACCCGUGGUCCGUUUAGCUAGGCAGGUGCGGCGGCCCGAUUAGGCGUGGCUGGCGCGCGAGGCCCCAACGGUAGGGGAGCGGCUUGCACGGGCGCACGUGGCGUUGUCCGAUUGGUGCAGGGCGCCCGGGAGCAGACAGAAAACGGUCGGGGGAGGGGGUGCGUGGCGGGCGCGGACGGGCUCGGGCGGGGUGAAACAGUUGGCUGAAGGGCUUAGGGGGGCUUUAAGAGGCCCAUUCGUCUUUUUUUUUCAAAUUUAGGCCCUAUUUUGGCCGAAUUUUGCCUAUAAAUAAGGCAUUUCAUAUUCAGAAUUUUCACACUCAAACCACUCCUCCCCUCUCAAACAUGUCUAACUUCAUACCAAUUCCUCCACAUCCACCAAAUGAUCCAAACAACCCCAAUUCAUACGAGUUCCCACUCACAGAUUUUGGCCUAAACUACGUAGAUCCCACAUACGCCGAUGUCCUAAAUGCCCAAGAAUCAAACAUCACCGCUGCCAUUGAGACUCCUACAAAAAGCACGGUCGCUGCCACCAGCAAAAGAGGGCUCGCAAGAAGACCUCUUCAGUGUGGGAGUACUUUGAGCCCGUUACGGUGACGGAGCCAGACGGGAGGAUCGUGACCAAGGCCAAGUCCAAGCAUCCGCGAUGCGACUCCAUGCUCUCCAUGCACGUCACCGGAGGAAAUGGCCACUUGACGAGGCACCACAAAAAACACGUCAAGGAGGACGUUGUCGGUAAGGCAAAACAAAGCAAGCUCAAGUUAAACACCGAUGGUACGGUCAACACUUUAUCCUAUGAUCUAACUCUUGCUAGAGAGUCAUCAUGCCGUUUAAUUGCUAGAAAUGAUUUACCAUUAGGUUUUGGUGAAUGGCCUGGUUUUGUUCAAUACAUUAGAACUGCUCAUAACCCCAACUAUAUGCACCUGUUUCUAGGCAAACAACUAGCAAAAAUAUGAAAAAAUUAUGCAAGAACGGUCUCAAAAAAAUAAAAGAUGAUUUUACUACGUGCACUUUUUCAGUCUCCUUAACAUCUGAUAUUUGGACCGGUAGGGGCAAGCAAGACUAUAUUAGUGUUGUAGCUCAUUAUAUUGAUAACAAUUGGACUUUGCAAAAAAAAAAAAGAAUAAUGUGAUUUGAAUUAAUUGAUGAGACCCAUAGUGGUGAUAACAUUGCUGAGGCUAUAGUUAAGGUUGUGGAUGGUUUGGUCUCAGGGAUAAGGUUUUUGCAGUAACUUUGGAUAAUGUUUCAUCAAAUACCUCUGCAAUGAAUCUACUCACUCCCGUGUUGAGCACGUAUGCCCCAUCUUUUUUAAUGCAUCAUCGUUGUGCUUGCCAUAUAAUUAAUCUUAUUGCUAAAUGUGCUUUGAAAAGAUGUCAAACUCAACUUGAUGUUGUGCAUACUGCAAUUAAUUGGUUGAAUAAUUCUACUAGACGAUGUAAUAACUACAAAAGGUACUGCUUGGCUAGGCAAGUAAAAUUUCAUAAGUUUAAUCCUGACAUGACGAUUAGAUGGAACUCCACAUAUCUGAUGCUUAGACCAUUGAUGGCAGACAAAGAUUUAUUUAGUGAGCUUAUUAAUGCAAAUUACCAUCCUGGAUAUCCCCUUCUUACUCCUGAAGUUUGGCAUGUUCUUGGAGUGCUGCUCCAAUUUGAGAUCUUUUAUGAUGCAAAUGUUCAAUUGUCGGGUGUUUAUUAUCCCACAUCUCCUUUAAUGGUGCAUUACAUUGAAGAUAUUAUUGCUCACCUUAAAGCAUGGGAAAAUGAUCCUAUUUUAUUUGAAGCUGUUGUUGCUAUGAAAAGAAAAUUUAUGAAAUACUGAAAAGAGAUCCCAUUGUUGUAUGCCUUUGCUUAUCUUGGAUCCUAGGGCUAAGCUCACCGCGUUUAGUGGUAUUCUCUCACUAACAGCUGGUAGUGUGGGCUACGAUUAUUCUCCUUAUUUUACUAAUGUUCGUGCGAAACUUAAUGAAGUUUACAGCAAGUACAAUUAAAAAUAUGGAAGUAUUCGGCAACAACUUCCUCCACCAAUACCGACCUCUGCCUCGGGCUCAAAUACAAGAUCGUGGGGGAAGUUAUUUGGUAAAUCACCCUCUGCCUCGGGCUCAAAUAGAAGAUCAUUGGGGAAGUUUUUCUGAAUUUUUACAUAUUUUUUUCUGAUUUUUUUAAGUCAUUAUUGAUAAAUGGACUUCUCAGGUCCGGGGCUUUUUUUAGGCUCGUCGGUCCGCUCGGGCCGGGCCGGCCCGAGCCGUGCAUGGAGCCGAGCCUGGCCCUUGGGAUCCCCUUGACGUGCCGGCCCAGCCCCUUCAAUUUUCGGGCCUGUGGGGCCGUGGUCGGGCCAGGCCCUGGAGCAGCAGACGAAGCUGCUCUUCGUCGCCGCCUCGCGCCGCCGCUGCCCCGUGGCUACUUCGGAACGGCAUCGUGCUGAUGAACGCACUGGCCAAGGGGGGGGGGGGGGGAGGGACCUGCUGGCGUCACCGUUGUCCCGCGCCACGGCCAUGGUGCAGGACGUCGUGCGGAUGGUCACGGAGGGAGUAUUAGAUAGCUAGGCACAUGCAUAAAUAUUCAGAUCUCAUGCAUAAGUUAUACUCUCUCUGUCCCAAAAUAAGUGACUUAGAUGGCGAUGUAUCCGGUGAAAACUCCCAUCCAGUGAAACCUGAAAACUUUCACGAUGAACCGUUGGAUCGAGAAUACACAAUUCAGAUCAGAGGUCGAAAUCCCUCAAACCACUUAAACACGUUUUACGGAAAAAAACCCUGCCCUUGACAUUUUGCUUGGGAAAACAUUGACCCAAAAGGAAAAGAAAACGGACGAAUCGUCUUCUCCGUCUGGCUAUGGCGACGCAAGUGCCGCCUCAAGGAGCUGCCCGUCCGCCGGCGCUGCAACUACUACGCCGACGGCAGCCAUCAUCCCCUCCGCGACGGCCCCUUCUGUUUUCCCCUCCACGACGGACCCCCUGUUGUUUUCCCUCAGCGACGCCCCUGUUGUUCUCCUGUAACUGAAGUUGUUCUCAUGUUAACUGAAGAAAUUGGUUUGUUGUACUCCAAUGGUGGAUGUACAGGCUGAUUUCUGCCUUUUGUUGUUGUAUUUGCCUUGUUGUUGUGCAAUCCUGUAACCCAAGAAAUCUUCUGAUCCGGCAGUCUAUAUAGUUGUGCAUGAAUUGGUGAUUAAAAUGAAUUCCUCCGGUCAGAAAAUUCAUUGGAGUACCGAUUGAUAGACAAUCUUCUGGAUACUCAAACAAACUGGAAGCGAUCUGUAAACAAUCUUCCGGUAUACAAUCUGAUCUGGAGAGCAAUCUGUAAGCAAUCUGGUCUGUAUGUAAUCUGUAUACAUUGUUUAAAACACAUUGGAUCUGAAAAUGCAAUCUUUAUAGACUACUGGAUAAAGAAAUUAGAGUACAGAUUGAUGACAAAUUAAAUUGAUGCCCAGUUCACUAAUUCCAGCAGCCAGAUUGUAUUUUUUUCCUCCGGUCUUCAUGACAUUCAAAAUGACCGCCAGAGUGUUGGAUCACUUUUUUAGAAACUAUACUUGAAAAUCAGCUCUAGAUUCUGGAACAAAAGUAAAAGUAUUAUACAAUACUCUGUUCAGUGUAAAAUUUAACUAACACUGACCAGGAGUAAUGCAGGACAGAACAAGUGUGUGCUAAAUUAAAAGAAGCUCACGACACAUAUUGCAAAGCAAAAUCUGAUCUAUUUUAUCCUUUAACAGUAAAAAAGAUGCAUGCAACACAUUUUUUUUAGAUUUAGCAAACAUAUAAUCUAGCCAUAAGAGAUAUAUUAGUUGCUAUCUGAUGUUUCAAAGAAAAAAUAUGACUUCACAAGUAAGAAAAUAUAAACUCAAUCCCUAAAAUAACCAGUUAAUCAUGACACAGGAAACAGGCACAUAAAGAUCUAGAAUUAAGCUCCCAUUAAACUUGGUGCACUUAAUCACAACACAUAAAACAUGCACAUACAAGAUCUGGAAUUAAGCUAGCAUUAAACCGAACAGUUGUUUGAAACAUAGGGUGAUGCAUGCUGAUAACUGAGAAAGGCUAGCACAAUCUUUCUCGGGCUCAAAGUGAAGAGGUAAACAUGAAAUCAGUUCAUGACCUAGCAAGCUUCUGCCAGCUCACCAGCGAGUGUCUGCCUAACCUGGGAAACCUGUGCCUUGGCUGCAUCAAGCUGUUUCUCCAACUGACAUGCCACCUCAGCAUCUAUUCUAGUGAACGAGCUUUUAGCGGAAGGAUCUAUAUCCGCAAUAAGCUCCACCUCCUGGGCAAGGAGAGGGUACAUCUCACACAUUUCCUCAAAGCUCUUGUCCCCAGUCUUGCUGCCAUUGCUAUCCUUUCGAGAAUUUCUCCGCAAUGCUUUCUUGGAGAGAUUUCUGCCACUGCUAUCCUUAGCCCCAACUUGGGAAGGUUUGCCCCAGGCUUGCUCAGAGAGAUUGUCAAGGCAUUUACCAUGCUCAGUAGUAGAUUUGUGCUUCUUCUCGAAGUAGCGGCGCCAUAGACUUCUCAUUUUAUCCUUGACAGCACGG